rnacentral:rRNA from 1 species
GAUGAACGCUGGCGGCGUGCCUAAUACAUGCAAGUCGAGCGAAUGGAUUAAGAGCUUGCUCUUAUGAAGUUAGCGGCGGACGGGUGAGUAACACGUGGGUAACCUGCCCAUAAGACUGGGAUAACUCCGGGAAACCGGGGCUAAUACCGGAUAACAUUUUGAACCGCAUGGUUCGAAAUUGAAAGGCGGCUUCGGCUGCCCAUUAUGGAUGGACCCGCGUCGCAUUAGCUAGUUGGUGAGGUAACGGCUCACCAAGGCAAGGAUGCGUAGCCGACCUGAGAGGGUGAUCGGCCACACUGGGACUGAGACACGGCCCAGACUCCUACGGGAGGCAGCAGUAGGGAAUCUUCCGCAAUGGACGAAAGUCUGACGGAGCAACGCCGCGUGAGUGAUGAAGGCUUUCGGGUCGUAAAACUCUGUUGUUAGGGAAGAACAAGUGCUAGUUGAAUAAGCUGGCACCUUGACGGUACCUAACCAGAAAGCCACGGCUAACUACGUGCCAGCAGCCGCAGUAA